CGUAGUCGAUGGGAAACAGGUUAAUAUUCCUGUACUUGGUGUUACUGCGAAGGGGGGACGGAGAAGGCUAUGUUGGCCGGGCGACGGUUGUCCCGGUUUAAGCGUGUAGGCUGGUUUUCCAGGCAAAUCCGGAAAAUCAAGGCUGAGGCGUGAUGACGAGGCACUACGGUGCUGAAGCGACAAAUGCCCUGCUUCCAGGAAAAGCCUCUAAGCAUCAGGUAACAUCAAAUCGUACCCCAAACCGACACAGGUGGUCAGGUAGAGAAUACCAAGGCGCUUGAGAGAACUCGGGUGAAGGAACUAGGCAAAAUGGUGCCGUAACUUCGGGAGAAGGCACGCUGAUAUGUAGGUGAAGCGACUUGCUCGUGGAGCUGAAAUCAGUCGAAGAUACCAGCUGGCUGCAACUGUUUAUUAAAAACACAGCACUGUGCAAACACGAAAGUGGACGUAUACGGUGUGACGCCUGCCCGGUGCCGGAAGGUUAAUUGAUGGGGUUAGCGGUAACGCGAAGCUCUUGAUCGAAGCCCCGGUAAACGGCGGCCGUAACUAUAACGGUCCUAAGGUAGCGAAAUUCCUUGUCGGGUAAGUUCCGACCUGCACGAAUGGCGUAAUGAUGGCCAGGCUGUCUCCACCCGAGACUCAGUGAAAUUGAACUCGCUGUGAAGAUGCAGUGUACCCGCGGCAAGACGGAAAGACCCCGUGAACCUUUACUAUAGCUUGACACUGAACAUUGAGCCUUGAUGUGUAGGAUAGGUGGGAGGCUUUGAAGUGUGGACGCCAGUCUGCAUGGAGCCGACCUUGAAAUACCACCCUUUAAUGUUUGAUGUUCUAACGUGGGCCCCUUACCGGGGUUGCGGACAGUGUCUGGUGGGUAGUUUGACUGGGGCGGUCUCCUCCUAAAGAGUAACGGAGGAGCACGAAGGUUGGCUAAUCCUGGUCGGACAUCAGGAGGUUAGUGCAAUGGCAUAAGCCAGCUUGACUGCGAGCGUGACGGCGCGAGCAGGUGCGAAAGCAGGUCAUAGUGAUCCGGUGGUUCUGAAUGGAAGGGCCAUCGCUCAACGGAUAAAAGGUACUCCGGGGAUAACAGGCUGAUACCGCCCAAGAGUUCAUAUCGACGGCGGUGUUUGGCACCUCGAUGUCGGCUCAUCACAUCCUGGGGCUGAAGUAGGUCCCAAGGGUAUGGCUGUUCGCCAUUUAAAGUGGUACGCGAGCUGGGUUUAGAACGUCGUGAGACAGUUCGGUCCCUAUCUGCCGUGGGCGCUGGAGAACUGAGGGGGGCUGCUCCUAGUACGAGAGGACCGGAGUGGACGCAUCACUGGUGUUCGGGUUGUCAUGCCAAUGGCACUGCCCGGUAGCUAAAUGCGGAAGAGAUAAGUGCUGAAAGCAUCUAAGCACGAAACUUGCCCCGAGAUGAGUUCUCCCUGACUCCUUGAGAGUCCUGAAGGAACGUUGAAGACGACGACGUUGAUAGGCCGGGUGUGUAAGCGCAGCGAUGCGUUGAGCUAACCGGUACUAAUGAACCGUGAGGCUUAACCUU
rnacentral:rRNA from 1 species